UUAAGCGACUAAGCGUACACGGUGGAUGCCCUGGCAGUCAGAGGCGAUGAAGGACGUGCUAAUCUGCGAUAAGCGUCGGUAAGGUGAUAUGAACCGUUAUAACCGGCGAUUUCCGAAUGGGGAAACCCAGUGUGAUUCGUCACACUAUCAUUAACUGAAUCCAUAGGUUAAUGAGGCGAACCGGGGGAACUGAAACAUCUAAGUACCCCGAGGAAAAGAAAUCAACCGAGAUUCCCCCAGUAGCGGCGAGCGAACGGGGAGCAGCCCAGAGCCUGAAUCAGUGUGUGUGUUAGUGGAAGCGUCUGGAAAGGCGCGCGAUACAGGGUGACAGCCCCGUACACAAAAAUGCACAUGCUGUGAGCUCGAUGAGUAGGGCGGGACACGUGGUAUCCUGUCUGAAUAUGGGGGGACCAUCCUCCAAGGCUAAAUACUCCUGACUGACCGAUAGUGAACCAGUACCGUGAGGGAAAGGCGAAAAGAACCCCGGCGAGGGGAGUGAAAAAGAACCUGAAACCGUGUACGUACAAGCAGUGGGAGCACGCUUAGGCGUGUGACUGCGUACCUUUUGUAUAAUGGGUCAGCGACUUAUAUUCUGUAGCAAGGUUAACCGAAUAGGGGAGCCGAAGGGAAACCGAGUCUUAACUGGGCGUUAAGUUGCAGGGUAUAGACCCGAAACCCGGUGAUCUAGCCAUGGGCAGGUUGAAGGUUGGGUAACACUAACUGGAGGACCGAACCGACUAAUGUUGAAAAAUUAGCGGAUGACUUGUGGCUGGGGGUGAAAGGCCAAUCAAACCGGGAGAUAGCUGGUUCUCCCCGAAAGCUAUUUAGGUAGCGCCUCGUGAACUCAUCUCCGGGGGUAGAGCACUGUUUCGGCAAGGGGGUCAUCCCGACUUACCAACCCGAUGCAAACUGCGAAUACCGGAGAAUGUUAUCACGGGAGACACACGGCGGGUGCUAACGUCCGUCGUGAAGAGGGAAACAACCCAGACCGCCAGCUAAGGUCCCAAAGUCAUGGUUAAGUGGGAAACGAUGUGGGAAGGCCCAGACAGCCAGGAUGUUGGCUUAGAAGCAGCCAUCAUUUAAAGAAAGCGUAAUAGCUCACUGGUCGAGUCGGCCUGCGCGGAAGAUGUAACGGGGCUAAACCAUGCACCGAAGCUGCGGCAGCGACGCUUAUGCGUUGUUGGGUAGGGGAGCGUUCUGUAAGCCUGUGAAGGUGUGCUGUGAGGCAUGCUGGAGGUAUCAGAAGUGCGAAUGCUGACAUAAGUAACGAUAAAGCGGGUGAAAAGCCCGCUCGCCGGAAGACCAAGGGUUCCUGUCCAACGUUAAUCGGGGCAGGGUGAGUCGACCCCUAAGGCGAGGCCGAAAGGCGUAGUCGAUGGGAAACAGGUUAAUAUUCCUGUACUUGGUGUUACUGCGAAGGGGGGACGGAGAAGGCUAUGUUGGCCGGGCGACGGUUGUCCCGGUUUAAGCGUGUAGGCUGGUUUUCCAGGCAAAUCCGGAAAAUCAAGGCUGAGGCGUGAUGACGAGGCACUACGGUGCUGAAGCAACAAAUGCCCUGCUUCCAGGAAAAGCCUCUAAGCAUCAGGUAACAUCAAAUCGUACCCCAAACCGACACAGGUGGUCAGGUAGAGAAUACCAAGGCGCUUGAGAGAACUCGGGUGAAGGAACUAGGCAAAAUGGUGCCGUAACUUCGGGAGAAGGCACGCUGAUAUGUAGGUGAAGUCCCUUGCGGAUGGAGCUGAAAUCAGUCGAAGAUACCAGCUGGCUGCAACUGUUUAUUAAAAACACAGCACUGUGCAAACACGAAAGUGGACGUAUACGGUGUGACGCCUGCCCGGUGCCGGAAGGUUAAUUGAUGGGGUCAGCGCAAGCGAAGCUCUUGAUCGAAGCCCCGGUAAACGGCGGCCGUAACUAUAACGGUCCUAAGGUAGCGAAAUUCCUUGUCGGGUAAGUUCCGACCUGCACGAAUGGCGUAAUGAUGGCCAGGCUGUCUCCACCCGAGACUCAGUGAAAUUGAACUCGCUGUGAAGAUGCAGUGUACCCGCGGCAAGACGGAAAGACCCCGUGAACCUUUACUAUAGCUUGACACUGAACAUUGAGCCUUGAUGUGUAGGAUAGGUGGGAGGCUUUGAAGUGUGGACGCCAGUCUGCAUGGAGCCGACCUUGAAAUACCACCCUUUAAUGUUUGAUGUUCUAACGUUGACCCGUAAUCCGGGUUGCGGACAGUGUCUGGUGGGUAGUUUGACUGGGGCGGUCUCCUCCUAAAGAGUAACGGAGGAGCACGAAGGUUGGCUAAUCCUGGUCGGACAUCAGGAGGUUAGUGCAAUGGCAUAAGCCAGCUUGACUGCGAGCGUGACGGCGCGAGCAGGUGCGAAAGCAGGUCAUAGUGAUCCGGUGGUUCUGAAUGGAAGGGCCAUCGCUCAACGGAUAAAAGGUACUCCGGGGAUAACAGGCUGAUACCGCCCAAGAGUUCAUAUCGACGGCGGUGUUUGGCACCUCGAUGUCGGCUCAUCACAUCCUGGGGCUGAAGUAGGUCCCAAGGGUAUGGCUGUUCGCCAUUUAAAGUGGUACGCGAGCUGGGUUUAGAACGUCGUGAGACAGUUCGGUCCCUAUCUGCCGUGGGCGCUGGAGAACUGAGGGGGGCUGCUCCUAGUACGAGAGGACCGGAGUGGACGCAUCACUGGUGUUCGGGUUGUCAUGCCAAUGGCACUGCCCGGUAGCUAAAUGCGGAAGAGAUAAGUGCUGAAAGCAUCUAAGCACGAAACUUGCCCCGAGAUGAGUUCUCCCUGACCCUUUAAGGGUCCUGAAGGAACGUUGAAGACGACGACGUUGAUAGGCCGGGUGUGUAAGCGCAGCGAUGCGUUGAGCUAACCGGUACUAAUGAACCGUGAGGCUUAACCUU
rnacentral:rRNA from 1 species